rnacentral:rRNA from 1 species
AGAGUUUGAUCCUGGCUCAGAUUGAACGCUGGCGGCAUGCCUUACACAUGCAAGUCGAACGGCAGCACGGGCUUCGGUCUGGUGGCGAGUGGCGAACGGGUGAGUAAUGUAUCGGAACGUACCUUUCAGUGGGGGAUAACGUAGCGAAAGUUACGCUAAUACCGCAUAUUCUGUGAGCAGGAAAGCAGGGGAUCGCAAGACCUUGCGCUGAUUGAGCGGCCGAUAUCAGAUUAGCUAGUUGGUGGGGUAAAGGCCUACCAAGGCUACGAUCUGUAGCGGGUCUGAGAGGAUGAUCCGCCACACUGGAACUGAGACACGGUCCAGACUCCUACGGGAGGCAGCAGUGGGGAAUUUUGGACAAUGGGGGCAACCCUGAUCCAGCCAUGCCGCGUGAGUGAAGAAGGCCUUCGGGUUGUAAAGCCCUUUCGGCCGGGAAGAAAUCGCAUAGGUUAAUACCCUGUGUGGAUGACGGUACCGGAAUAAGAAGCACCGGCUAACUACGUGCCAGCAGCCGCGGUAAUACGUAGGGUGCGAGCGUUAAUCGGAAUUACUGGGCGUAAAGCGUGCGCAGGCGGUUUCGUAAGACAGAGGUGAAAUCCCCGGGCUCAACCUGGGAACUGCCUUUGUGACUGCGAAGCUAGAGUACGGCAGAGGGGGGUGGAAUUCCACGUGUAGCAGUGAAAUGCGUAGAGAUGUGGAGGAACACCGAUGGCGAAGGCAGCCCCCUGGGCCGAUACUGACGCUCAUGCACGAAAGCGUGGGUAGCAAACAGGAUUAGAUACCCUGGUAGUCC